rnacentral:misc_RNA from 1 species
UCUCCGUUGGUGAACCAGCGGAGGGAACAUUACAGGACUCGCAAGACUCCUACAACCCUGUGAACUUAACUAUAAGCACGUUGCUUCGGCGGGUGUCUCGGAGGGGGUUCUCCCUCCCCGAGACGCUAAACCCGCCGGCAGCCUACUAUACUCUGUCUCUUUGCGUUGGCAUCUCGAGUACAAUCAAACAAGUUAAAACUUUCAACAACGGAUCUCUUGGUUCUG